rnacentral:rRNA from 1 species
GCGGAGGGAUCAUUACUGAGUGAGGGCUCACGCCCGACCUCCAACCCUUUGUGAACCAAACUUGUUGCUUCGGGGGCGACCCUGCCGGCGAACUCGUCGCCGGGCGCCCCCGGAGGUCUUCUAAACACUGCAUCUUUGCGUCGGAGUUUAAAACAAAUUAAACAAAACUUUCAACAACGGAUCUCUUGGUUCUGGCAUCGAUGAAGAACGCAGCGAAAUGCGAUAAGUAAUGUGAAUUGCAGAAUUCAGUGAAUCAUCGAAUCUUUGAACGCACAUUGCGCCCUUUGGUAUUCCGAAGGGCAUGCCUGUUCGAGCGUCAUUUCACCACUCAAGCCUGGCUUGGUAUUGGGCGUCGCGGUGUUUCCGCGCGCCUUAAAGUCUCCGGCUGAGCUGUCCGUCUCUAAGCGUUGUGGAUCUUUCAAUUCGCUUCGGAGUGCGGGCGGCCGCGGCCGUUAAAUCUUUAUUCAAAGGUUGACCUCGGAUCAGGUAGGGAUACCCGCUG